rnacentral:rRNA from 1 species
GACGAACGCUGGCGGCGUGCUUAACACAUGCAAGUCGAACGGAAAGGCCCUGCUUUUGUGGGGUGCUCGAGUGGCUAACGGGUGAGUAACACGUGAGUAACCUGCCCUUGACUUUGGGAUAACUUCAGUAAACUGGGGCUAAUACCGGAUAGGAGCUCCUGCUGCAUGGUGGGGGUUGGAAAGUUUCGGCGGUUGGGGAUGGACUCGCGGCUUAUCAGCUUGUUGGUGGGGUAGUGGCUUACCAAGGCUUUGACGGGUAGCCGGCCUGAGAGGGUGACCGGCCACAUUGGGACUGAGAUACGGCCGAGACUCCUACGGGAGGCAGCAGUGGGGAAUAUUGCACAAUGGGCGGAAGACUGAUGCAGCAACGCAGCGUGCGGGAUGACGGCCUUCGGGUUGUAAACCGCUUUCGCCUGUGACGAAGCGUGAGUGACGGUAAUGGGUAAAGAAGCACCGGCUAAAUACGUG